AUUGAACGCUGGCGGCAUGCCUUACACAUGCAAGUCGAACGGUAACAGGUCUUCGGAUGCUGACGAGUGGCGAACGGGUGAGUAAUACAUCGGAACGUGCCUAGUAGUGGGGGAUAACUACUCGAAAGAGUGGCUAAUACCGCAUGAGAUCUACGGAUGAAAGCAGGGGAUCGCAAGACCUUGUGCUACUAGAGCGGCCGAUGGCAGAUUAGGUAGUUGGUGGGAUAAGAGCUUACAAAGCCGACGAUCUGUAGCUGGUCUGAGAGGACGAUCAGCCACACUGGGACUGAGAAACGGCCCAGACUCCUACGGGAGGCAGCAGUGGGGAAUUUUGGACAAUGGGCGCAAGCCUGAUCCAGCAAUGCCGCGUGCAGGAUGAAGGCCUUCGGGUUGUAAACUGCUUUUGUACGGAACGAAAAGCCCCGGGUUAAUACCCUGGGGUCAUGACGGUACCGUAAGAAUAAGCACCGGCUAACUACGUGCCAGCCGCCGCCGUAA
rnacentral:rRNA from 1 species